rnacentral:rRNA from 2 species
CGUGCUAAUCUGCGAUAAGCGCCGGUAAGGUGAUAUGAACCGUUAUAACCGGCGAUACCCGAAUGGGGAAACCCAGUGUGACUCGUCACACUAUCAUUAACUGAAUCCAUAGGUUAAUGAGGCGAACCGGGGGAACUGAAACAUCUAAGUACCCCGAGGAAAAGAAAUCAACCGAGAUUCCCCCAGUAGCGGCGAGCGAACGGGGAGGAGCCCAGAGCCUGAAUCAGCAUGUGUGUUAGUGGAAGCGUCUGGAAAGGCGCGCGAUACAGGGUGACA